GACGAGGGAUCCUAGCGUUGUUCGGAAUCAUUGGGCGUAAAGCGGGUGUAGGCGGGCUUAUAAGUCAGUUGUGAAAUCCCAGGGCUCAACCCCUGGAAGUGCAUUUGAUACUGUAAGUCUUGAAUGUGGUAGAGGUUACUAGAAUUCCUGGUGUAGUGGUGAAAUACGUAGAUAUCAGGAGGAAUACCAGAGGCGAAGGCGGGUAACUGGGCCAACAUUGACGCUGAGACCCGAAAGUGUGGGGAUCAAACAGG
rnacentral:rRNA from 1 species